rnacentral:rRNA from 1 species
AUACCAGCACCCCGAGUGGUCGGGACGUUUAUUGGGCCUAAAGCACCCGUAGCCGGUUUUGCAAGUCUUCCGUUAAAUCCACCUGCUUAACAGAUGGGCUGCGGAAGAUACUAUAGAGCUAGGAGGCGGGAGAGGCAAGCGGUACUCGAUGGGUAGGGGUAAAAUCCGUUGAUCCAUUGAAGACCACCAGUGGCGAAGGCGGCUUGCCAGAACGCGCUCGACGGUGAGGGAUGAAAGCUGGGGGAGCAAACCGGAUUAGAUACCCGGGUAGUCCCAGCUGUAAACGAUGCAGACUCGGUGAUGAAUUGGCUUUAUGCCAAUUCAGUGCCGCAGGGAAGCCGUUAAGUUUGCCGCCUGGGGAGUACGGUCGCAAGACUGAAACUUAAAGGAAUUGACGGGG